rnacentral:rRNA from 1 species
GGAAUAUUGCACAAUGGGGGAAACCCUGAUGCAGCGUCGCCGCGUGAGUGAAGAAGUAUUUCGGUAUGUAAAGCUCUAUCAGCAGGGAAGAAAAUGACGGUACCUGCACAAGAAGCCCCGGCUAACUACGUGCCAGCAGCCGCGGUAAUACGUAGGGGGCAAGCGUUAUCCGGAUUUACUGGGUGUAAAGGGAGCGCAGACGGUUUGGCAAGUCUGAUGUGAAAUGCGGGGGCUCAACUCUCGAACUGCAUUGGAAACUGUCAAACUAGAGUGCCGGAGGGGUAAGCGGAAUUCCUAGUGUAGCGGUGAAAUGCGUAGAUAUUAGGAGGAACACCAGUGGCGAAGGCGGCUUACUGGACGGUAACUGACGUUGAGGCUCGAAAGCGUGGGGAGCAAACA